rnacentral:rRNA from 1 species
AACGAACGCUGGCGGCAUGCCUAACACAUGCCAGUCGAACGAGACCUUCGGGUCUAGUGGCGCACGGGUGCGUAACGCGUGGGAACCUGCCCUUAGGUUCGGAAUAACUCCCCGAAAGGGGUGCUAAUACCGGAUAAUGUCUUCGGACCAAAGAUUUAUCGCCUUUGGAUGGGCCCGCGUUGGAUUAGCUAGUUGGUAGGGUAAAAGCCUACCAAGGCGACGAUCCAUAGCUGGUCUGAGAGGAUGAUCAGCCACACUGGGACUGAGACACGGCCCAGACUCCUACGGGAGGCAGCAGUAGGGAAUAUUGGACAAUGGGCGAAAGCCUGAUCCAGCAAUGCCGCGUGAGUGAUGAAGGCCUUAGGGUUGUAAAGCUCUUUUACCCGGGAUGAUAAUGACAGUACCGGGAGAAUAAGCGCCGGCUAACUCCGUG